ACGACUCUCGGCAACGGAUAUCUCGGCUCACGCAUCGAUGAAGAACGCAGCRAAAUGCGAUACUUGGUGUGAAUUGCAGAAUCCCGUGAACCAUCGAGUUUUUGAACGCAAGUUGCGCCCGAAACCAUUUGGUUGAGGGCACGUCUGCCUGGGCGUCACGC
rnacentral:rRNA from 1 species